UACGUAGGGACCGAGCGUUGUUCGGAAUUACUGGGCGUAAAGAGUGUGUAGGCGGUGCUCUAAGUUCGGUGUGAAAUCUCCUGGCUCAACUGGGAGGGUGCGCCGGAAACUGGAGUGCUUGAGCGUGGGAGAGGAAAGCGGAAUUCCUGGUGUAGCGGUGAAAUGCGUAGAUAUCAGGAGGAACACCGGUGGUGUAGACGGCUCUCUGGACCGUAACUGACGCUGAGGCACGAAAGCGUGGGUAGCAACAGG
rnacentral:rRNA from 1 species